rfam:Colletotrichum gloeosporioides Nara gc5 unplaced genomic scaffold scaffold183, whole genome shotgun sequence.
GGCCUCAUGGCGCAACGGUAGCGCGUUCGACUCCAGAUUCUGUCCUGCGACCGUUUCUGAGCUGAUAUCGAAAGGUUAUCCGUUCAAAUCGGGUUGGGGUCA